UGACCUCACUGCUUUCUCUCGAUCUCUCUUUUCACAUCCUUUCCUCAGCCACGUGUGUGCUGGCUCCUUCUCCUCUAGGAAGAGACAGCUCGGUGCCCUUAACCCCUUGAGCUUCUCACGAAGAGAGCUGCAAAGGAAGAGAAUUCGUUUUCGUAUAUGAGAUUGGCUCGUGAUGUUUUUCUUAUGAAGUUGCUUCGCGGUACUUUCUAUCUAGGAAGUGGUCAGAAUGGUGGACUGGGACCCCCACUCAGCCAAUGAAACUCACUGCAGGACCUGUCUUGGGCCCAAGUCACUAUCUCUCAGCCUAGCCUACCUCACAGGGUUGCUGUGAGGGUAAAACGGAGAGGAGAGGACUAUGUAGGUUACCUUGACCUCCUUGGAGGAAAGAAGAGGAGCAGGUUGGAAAGAAGAGGAAGGGCUGCAGGGACUGACAGAGGCCAGUCAAAAGGUAAAGGCCUGCUGUGUUAUUGGGGAACCAACAUAAAAAUCACGAAGACGAUAAAACCCCUUCUCUCUCCAUUGCUGCCAAGAUGUUGUGCUAAAGGUUCCAUCACCAUCAAGAACAGGAGAGUAGAGAGAGGUCAUCCUUGUUUCGUUCCUCCAUAGAUUGUAAAUAGUGGAGAAUUUCUACCAUUUAUCCUAAUCACUGCUGUAGAAGGAAAAAGGGAGAGCGCUGUUUAUGAGACAAAGCCAGGAGACUGGGUGUUCCUAAAAAAGGCUGGACUCAUUACACUAGAGUAAAACCAGGUUCCUUACCCACUACGUGGACCAGUACAAUACAGACGGAAAUCCCAGGACAAGCACCACGGCUACUCCUGCGGAAGACCACUGGAGGAUUGAGUCAGAGGAUCAAAACUGGACAGAUAAGGAGAGAUUUGAGACUUUACUAAUUCCAGAAUUAGAUACUUGGAGUUCAGGGUGGGAAUGGAAGGAAACUUGGUUUAGGACCCCGUGCCCACACGUAAGAUUUAAAAUAUAUCAGGCAGAAUAUUGCCAAAAGAAACAGCUAAUAGUCUUGUGGGGAGAGGGGGACCAAGGAUAUUGGAUAACAUAUCAUAAAGGGCAAAACCUAGUCUUCCCCUUAUAUAAUUUCAGGUGGGGAGAAAAAGGUUGGGGUUGGCAAAGCAUAGGAAAAUUAGGAAUAAGGGAACAUCGAAAUACUUUAAAGUGUAAUCAGUGUGAAAAGGAGUGGAAUUUCACAGACGAACUACAAAAUAGCUCCUGGACUCCAGAGGAAGUAAGGAGGGAAGAAGAAAUGAGCAGAUGGGAAGCAGGGUAUCCAUAGUACUAUAGACCAAAACACUUCCUAUCAGAGAAUUAGGAAUACAACCAAUAGUAUUAUCAUACAGAAAACUUGGACAAAUAAAACCACAAGUUUUGGCAAUAAUACCCCUUCAAAUUGGACCCACUCUUGAUAGGAUACCCCGGGAGCGGGAUUCGUACGAUACUUUAUUACGGUCAACGACCCGUCAAGGAGAAUAAAAUUUACAACCAGUUGCAAACAUAUUGUUAAAAUUAACACUAAACUAGUACUAGUAAUAUUAAGCAAUUACAUAGAAGGGUUAAUAGUAAAUAACUGUCUUUUACGUUGGGCUGCAUAAAAAUACUUAGCAACUGAAAUCAAAUGAGAGCUAUUAUUGCCAGAUAGAAGCCAUGACAUCCAAUGUUCAGGAGAUCUAUUGGGAUGAUUUUGCAUAAAGGGUACAAUAUAUAGAUCCCUUUCCUCAGCAUAUAGUGGACAAGCAAAGAGGAUAUGGGGCAGAGAUUCUAUUAAGCCUUCCCUACACAGACAGAGGCAUUGCACUAAGGGCUUGCCCUUAAAUCUACCCUCCAGGAGCGCAGACUCCAGACAAUUGAAGCGGGCCUUAGAAAAGGCUAAUCGGUAUUUGGGAUUCGUUAAGACAUCUAGAUAUGCCGCGUACUUUAAAAAGUGGAAGUCCAGUUUAUGAUGAAGGGGGGAACAUACUUUGGAUGCGGCCUGAAUUCUUGAUUGUCUAUCAGUGUCAUGGAGCCUAUCCCUAAUAAUCUGCCUAGCCCUAUCAAGGUCUUGGGAGGAAAGAAAUUCUAAUGAAAGGCCUAAGUAGGGCAGCUUGUCUAAAAAGCAUUUCAUCCAGCUGGAUAGGAGCCCGUCUUCUCCAAGACUUGACAGGUAACCUGACAGGCAUAUAUAAGAAAUUUCAGUCCAAAAAUUAAAAGCUAGGGACCAUGCUUGGCAUUCUACUGAGCACGAUCCCGCUUCCAAUCUUAACACAGCAUUUGAAACACAUCUUUGAACUCCAAAGAUUCUUCGUAAGAAGAUGGACAGCACUGACUCAACCAUGGGAUUGAACGCAUGUAUCCAGAUCUGGACACCAUACAAUAGUUGGGAUAGAAUUUUGGCUGUGAAUACCUGUAUAGCUGCCGGGAUAUAUUGCCCCCCUUUGUUAUAAAAAUAGCGUACUAAGCACUUCAUCGAUGUUCGGGCCGUCGCAACUGCCGCACGGAUGUGUGGCAUCCAAGAAAGGGAGGAAUGGAAUAAAAUACCUAGAUAUUUGUAAGCACUAACUUGCUCAAUAGAGUGGCCGUUAAUUUUCCACAUGGGAGUUAAGGAAGAUUUUGUAAACGCUAGAAUUUUAGAUUUUGAGAAAUUGAUUGUUAAUGCGUUCUCUGAGCAAUAAUCCAUAAAAACUCUAAUCAAGCGUUUGAGGCCAACUUUAGAAAAAGAGAGCAAGGCCGCGUCGUCAGCGUAAAGCAAAAUAGGACAACUGCUUCCUUUAAUUUUAGGCGAGUGGAAGUCAGGUGAAAAACAUUUGGGGGCCAAAUCAUUUAGAAAGAGAUUAAAAAGGAGCGGGGCCAACACACAGCCUUGUCUCACCCCUCUUGACAUGAUAAUUGAGUUGGAGAGAUCUCCUUUUUGGCUACAGCGGACACGAAGGGGAGUGUUCAGGUGCAGCUUAUAAAUCAAGAACAACAAUCUCUUAUCGAUAGUUGUUUUAGCCAAUUUGGCCCACAGUAUAUCCCGUGGAAUAGAGUCAAACACCACCUUCAGGUCAAUAAAAACAACGUAUAGACCACUCCCUACCUGAUUUCUAUAUUUUUCGGCAAGAUGACUUAGUAACAGGCAGUGGUCCAUGACCGAUCUACCACUCCUAAAACCUGCCUGUUCCACUCCCAGUACAUUUUCCUCCUCCAUCCAGUUGGAUAGUUUGUUCUUUAGAUAGUUAGCAUAUAAUUUCCCGAUCACCGAUAGUAGGCUAAUUGGUCUAUAACUAGCCGGCUCAGUCCUGGGACCUUUCUUAUAAAUAGGCACUACAAUGGCUUCCUUCCAUGCCUGAGGAAAAUGUCCCUUAUUAUUAAUCAGAGUGAAAAGAUUGGCCAAAAUAGGCGCCCACCAUUCUGAGUGUGUUUUUAGAAGCUCAGGGGAAGAUUAUCACCACCUGGAGCUUUGGCCAGUUUUAGGUUUUUAAUCAAAUCAAGUAUUUCUGAUUGUGUAACCGGUGGCCAAAAGGGAAAGGAUUCAUAGUCAACAAACGGAAUCUUUGGGGACGAGCGAUAAAAAUCCUUUUGACAAUCCAUGAAAUAUUGUUCCCAGACAUUUGGAAGGAUGUUACAAGGGGCAAAAUUAGAAGGUCUAAUGGAGCCAUUAAUUAGAGACCAAAACCUUUUGGAGUUGCUAUCUUUGGCUGCCUGUCUUAAGGACUCCCACCCCGAUUGUAUUGCUUGUCGUUUUUUGGUCACUAUAAGGGCUUUGUAGUUCCUUUUAGUUAUAUAAUAUAUCUCUGGCAAGACUCUAGCAUUUUGAUGACGAUAACAUAGAUAUAUGUUUCUCAGUUGUCUCUUUGCAUUAAGGCAUUCUUGGUCGAACCAUUUAUGCGAGUCAUCCCACACGUUUGAUCGAGUGGGCACAUUAUUCGGUAUUAGCAAAGGUUGAAAUGACUCAACCAGAGAGUCCAAUGCAUUUAGAGAUUGAGUGAGAUCGGAAGAAUUUCCAAAAGACUCCUGUAUGUUCUUAGCCAAGGGAGAUGCUAUAAAUUCCGCUACUUUAGAGGCAACUAAUGAGGUCCACAUGGGUCGUUUGUAUUUAAAAUACAUUUGAUUAAUGGCCGGAUUAUAUUCUGCCGCUAACCUACAGUUCACCUUUAAAUGCAAUGAGAGAGAAAUGGGUAGAUGAUCGCUGUACAAUCUCAUGCCAACCGAAAAAUUCGUAAUCGAAUUCAAAAGAUGGGGGGACGUGAUCGCGUAGUCGAUCACGCUGCUUCCUCUAUUUGAUAUGUAUGUGUACUCCGCACAAGCGUCAAGGGGCUUUAAUCCAUAUAAAAUGGUAAGAUUAUGGCUGCCAACCAUACGGGAUAAACAAAUUCCUUGAUAAUUGACGCUACAAUCCUUGGAGGUUCUCACUAGCUCAGGAACUAGAUGUGUGUUAGUUUCCCCCCUCCACAACUUAGAAGCUAGAAGGGUCUCAUUGUUCUGGCCUAUCCUAGCAUUAAAAUCUCCCAGGAUAAUUACCAAGGCUCCAGGGAAUCGGGACUCCAACUCCGUGGUAUAAUAAAGUCUUCCCACAACUGAUCCGUAAGUGACCUAGAAGUAGCAGGGGGGAUAUAUACAUUGAUUAAUAGAAGAGACAUUUUAUCAAAAGUCAGGUGAACAGCCAUGGCAAAGUUAUUGCAUGUUGGAAUUUUGUUACAACGGACAUUUAAUGCUGUAGAGAUAAGGAUAGCCAGGCCUCCUUUAGGGCGUCCCUUAGUUUUUUCUAUUUGGUGGACAGCUGGUAAAGUUAUAGAGUUGAAGCCAUCUAUGUUCAACUCCGUGGUAUUCCAGGUUUCCUGUAAGCAGAUUACAUCUUGAUGAUUUAAAAAGUUAAUAAAGUCUGGAAUAUUUUGUUUAGAUGACCAUCCUGCUAUAUUCCAGGAUAAUAUAUGUAAUGGAGAAUCCGUCUUCAAUGAGGUAGAACGCUUACAGGUAGGCUGGGUUACCUCAUCUGACUGGAGUAACCUAGAUUGGGGAGGUCAAUGUAUCUCUUCAAUAUGAUUGAGUAUACCUCGGCUAUCAUUGAAGACUGCUCCUGAGGAUGGUCCUGCUUUCAAAGUUGUAACCUGGGCCUGGGGUGCCAUGGAUGAAAUGGAGGUUGUUUCAGAGGUGAAGGAAGAAGACAUAUCCCCAAUGGAGCACAUUUGUUGGUUCGAGUUUGUAAGACGUUGUAUCAAAUAAUAGAGCUUUUGAAUCACCAUGUCUCUUUCCAGAUCUGAUAGUUGGGAGUAUAGAGAGGCAAGUUGAGCCUCCUCCGGCUCCAACUCAACCAGCAAGGACGACAGCGACAAGGUCGGAACAGAAGACGAUGGAUUUCGUUCCUCAACCCGAGAGUGAUCAGAAUUCACAAUUAUCUCAGACUCUAAGUGGGAAGAACUCUCUGCUCUCCCAAAAUAAGACCAUAAGGGUUCUGGGGCAGAAGAAUUAAUAUAGUAGCGUUGAAUCAAAAGGCCUCUGAAAUGUAGCUCCUCUCUUAUCUGAAAUAUCUGGUUAGCUAUUACCGGGGAGUGAAAUGUCACUAUUAGCCGCCACACUCCAGUUUUAGUAGAUAUGUUUAUCAUGGAUUUAAUGUAAUUGAUGGCUUGUCCAGGAUGUAAAAAAUGAGCAAAAAACUUAUCCAAUAAAGGCACACUUGGAAAGGGGGGCCAUCUUCUUGAAUCCUUAGAGUUGUACAAUAUUACCAGUUUCCCUGGUUGCAAAACCAGUUUCCAAGGUCGAGGUUGCGUUUUAAUGAGACGUGUCCUCCUGUCCAUUUGUGUAUCCUCUGUGAUAAAGCUCUCUUCCCCCAAUGUUGUUGUAGUUUCAUUAAAUGAAUCUCCCAAGGAAUGUUUAGUGGGAGUGAUCUGCUGUCUGUUUUGUUUAGAUGAAAGAUGGAAAGCUUCCUCUUUUAACUUGGAAUCCGAUCUUUGUG